GCGGACGUGGUGGAAUUGGUAGACACGCCAGGUUUAGGUCCUGGUGGCGCAAGCUGUAUGGGUUCGAGUCCCGUCGCCCGCACCA
rnacentral:tRNA from 1 species